rnacentral:rRNA from 1 species
GUCUACAGCCAUGCCACCCUGAACAAGCCCGAUGUCUGAUCUCGGAAGCUAAGCAGCAUGAGGCCUGGUUAGUACUUGGAUGGGAGACCACCUAGGAAGACCAGGUGCUGUAGGCA